rnacentral:rRNA from 1 species
GGUUAACGCUAGCGGUGCGCCUAACACAUGCAAGUCGAGCGGUAACAGAGAGAAGCUUGCUUCUCUGCUGACGAGCGGCGGACGGGUGAGUAAUGCCUAGGAAUCUGCCUAGUAGUGGGGGAUAACUUGCCGAAAGGUAAGCUAAUACCGCAUACGUCCUACGGGAGAAAGGAGGGGACCUUCGGGCCUUUCGCUAUUAGAUGAGCCUAGGUCGGAUUAGUUAGUUGGUGAGGUAAUGGCUCACCAAGACCGCGAUCCGUAACUGGUCUGAGAGGAUGAUCAGUCACACUGGAACUGAGACACGGUCCAGACUCCUACGGGAGGCAGCAGUGGGGAAUAUUGGACAAUGGGGGGAACCCUGAUCCAGCCAUGCCGCGUGUGUGAAGAAGGUCUUAGGAUUGUAAAGCACUUUAAGUUGGGAGGAAGAGCAGUUAACUAAUAUUUGACUGUUUUGACGUUACCGACAGAAUAAGCACCGGCUAACUUCGUGCCAGCAGCCGCGGUAA